UCCUUGCCAUAGCUCAGAGGUUGAGCAUCUGCCUUGCAUGCAGAAGCUCCUGGCAUUUCCAGGUAAGGCUGGGAA